GAUGAACGCUGGCGGCGUGCCUAAUACAUGCAAGUCGAGCGAACAGACGAGGAGCUUGCUCCUCUGACGUUAGCGGCGGACGGGUGAGUAACACGUGGAUAACCUACCUAUAAGACUGGGAUAACUUCGGGAAACCGGAGCUAAUACCGGAUAAUAUAUUGAACCGCAUGGUUCAAUAGUGAAAGACGGCUUUGCUGUCACUUAUAGAUGGAUCUGCGCCGCAUUAGCUGGUGGGUAAGUUAACGGCUUACCAAGGCGAGUAUGCGUAGCCGAGCGGAGAGAGUGGUAGGCCGCACUGGAAGUGGGACACGGACCAUAGUCCUACGGGAGGCAGCAGUAGGGAAUCUUACGCAGUGGGCGGAAGCAUGACGGAGCGACGGCGCGUGAGUUGUGAAGGUCUUCGGAUCGUAAUACUCUGUUAUUAGGGAAGAACAAAUGUGUAAGUAACUAUGCACGUCUUGACGGUACCUGAUCAGAAGGCCACGGCUAACUACGUG
rnacentral:rRNA from 1 species